rnacentral:rRNA from 1 species
UACGUAGGGUGCAAGCGUUGUCCGGAAUUAUUGGGCGUAAAGAGCUCGUAGGCGGUCUGUCGCGUCGGCUGUGAAAACCCGGAGCUCAACUCCGGGCCUGCAGUCGAUACGGGCAAACUGGAGUGUUGCAGGGGAGACUGGAAUUCCUGGUGUAGCGGUGAAAUGCGCAGAUAUCAGGAGGAACACCGGUGGCGAAGGCGGGUCUCUGGGUAGUAACUGACGCUGAGGAACGAAAGCGUGGGUAGCGAACAGG